rnacentral:rRNA from 1 species
AAUCAACGCUGGCGGCGUGCCUCAGACAUGCAAGUCGAACGAUUAAACUUGCCUUCGGGCAAGAUAUAAAGUGGCGCACGGGUGAGUAACACGUAAGCAAUCUACCUUCGAGUGGGGAAUAACAUCGGGAAACCGAUGCUAAUACCGCAUAAUGCAGCGGCACCUAAUGGUGACAGUUGUUAAAGGAGCAAUUCGCUUGAAGAGGAGCUUGCGGCAGAUUAGCUAGUUGGUAAGUAACGGCUUACCAAGGCUACGAUCUGUAACCGGUCUAAGAGGACGGUCGGUCACACUGACACUGAAUAACGGGUCAGACUCCUACGGGAGGCAGCAGUCGGGAAUUUUGGCAAUGGGCGAAAGCCUGACCCAGCAACGCCGCGUGAAGGAUGAAGUAUUUCGGUAUGUAAAC